AUGGCUCGUACUAAGCAGACUGCUCGUAAGUCCACUGGAGGAAAGGCUCCUAGGAAGCAGCUAGCCACCAAGGUUUCUGCCCGUAAGUCUGCUCCCACAACUGGAGGAGUGAAGAAGCCUCACCGUUACUGCCCUGGAACUGUUGCUCUUCGUGAGAUCCGCAAGUACCAGAAGAGCACGGAGCUGCUCAUCAGGAAGCUUCCAUUCCAGAGGCUUGUUAGGGAGAUUGCCCAGGACUUCAAGACUGACCUCCGCUUCCAGAGCCAUGCGAUGCUGGCCCUUCAGGAGGCUGCAGAGGCCUACCUGGUGGGUCUCUUCGAGGAUCCGUGGCGAGAGGGCUUAAGGUGCUUGCUUUGCCUGUGGGAAUGUCUCUGUCGGGCAUCUGUGUCUGCUUUUGCUGCUGUUUUUAGUGAUUGUUUGGAACUGCUAGCUCUAAUUUAA
rnacentral:rRNA from 1 species